rnacentral:rRNA from 1 species
UACGAAGGGGGCUAGCGUUGCUCGGAAUCACUGGGCGUAAAGCGCACGUAGGCGGAUUCCUAAGUCGGGGGUGAAAUCCUGGAGCUCAACUCCAGAACUGCCUUCGAUACUGGGAAUCUUGAGUCCGGAAGAGGUGAGUGGAACUGCGAGUGUAGAGGUGAAAUUCGUAGAUAUUCGCAAGAACACCAGUGGCGAAGGCGGCUCACUGGUCCGGUACUGACGCUGAGGUGCGAAGGCGUGGGGAGCAAACAGG